UUCGUAGGCGGUGUGGCAAGUCGGGAGUGAAAUCUCUGGGCUCAACCCAGAGGCUGCUUCCGAAACUGCUGUGCUGGAGUGUGAGAGAGGCGCGUGGAAUUGCAGGUGUAGCGGUGAAAUGCGUAGAUAUCUGCAGGAACACCCGUGGCGAAAGCGGCGCGCUGGAUCACUACUGACGCUGAGGAACGAAAGCUAGGGGAGCAAACAGGAUUAGAUACCCUGGUAGUCCUAGCCCUAAACGAUCAGGACUUGGGGUGCCGCCCGUUCGGGCGUCGUCCCGGAGCUAACGCGUUAAGUCCUGCACCUGGGGAGUACGGUCGCAAGACUGAA
rnacentral:rRNA from 1 species